rnacentral:rRNA from 1 species
AACGAACGUUAGCGGCGCGCUUAACACAUGCAAGUCGAACGAGAAAGGGCUUCGGCCCCGGUAAAGUGGCGCACGGGUGAGUAACACGUGGGUAAUCUUCCCUUGAGCGGGGGAUAACAUUCCGAAAGGAGUGCUAAUACCGCAUAAGACCACGGCUCCGAAAGGAGCUGCGGUUAAAGCAGGCCUCUUCAUGAAAGCUUGCACUCGAGGAUGAGCCCGCGGCCCAUCAGCUAGUGGUAGGGUAAUGGCCUACCAAGGCAAAGACGGGUAGCUGGUCUGAGAGGAUGAUCAGCCACACUGGGACUGAGACACGGCCCAGACUCCUACGGGAGGCAGCAGUGGGGAAUUUUGGACAAUGGGGGCAACCCUGAUCCAGCCAUGCCGCGUGCGGGAAGAAGG